ensembl:lncRNA
GUAAGUUAGUAGGUAAGUGAAUGAGUAAGUUAGUAGGUAAGUGAAUGAGUAAGUUAGUAGGUACGUGAAUGAGUAAGUUAGUAGGUAAGUGAAUGAGUAAGUUAGUAGGUAAGUGAAUGGGUAAGUUAGUAGGUACGUGAAUGAGUAAGUUAGUAGGAAAGUUAAUGAGUAAAUUAGUAAGUGAGUAAAUAAAUGAAUUAAUAAAUAAACAGAUUAAGGGCUCAUGGUGGCUUAGUGGUUAGCACUCGCUAACUUAGUGGUUCACCUCACACCUCCAAGGUUGGGGGUUCGAUUCCCACCAUGGCCCUGUAUGUGCAGAGCUUGCAUGUUCUCCCCAUGCUGUGGGGGUUUCCUCCAGGUACUCCGGUUUCCUCCCCAGUGCAAAGACAUGCAUGGUAGACUGAUUGGCAUGUCUAAAGUGUCCGUAGUGUAUGAAUGGGUGUGUGAAUGUGUAUGCGAAUGUGCCCU